UACGUAGGGGGCAAGCGUUGUCCGGAUUUAUUGGGCGUAAAGAGCGUGUAGGCGGUUUGGUAGGUCCGCUGUGAAAACUCGAGGCUCAACCUCGAGACGCCGGUGGAAACCAUCAGACUAGAGUCCGGAAGAGGAGAAUGGAAUUCCUGGUGUAGCGGUGAAAUGCGCAGAUAUCAGGAAGAACACCCGUGGCUAAGGCGGUUCUCUAGUACGGUACUGACGCUGAGACGCGAAAGCGUGGGGAGCGAACAGG
rnacentral:rRNA from 1 species